rnacentral:lncRNA from 1 species
GGUGAGCAAUAGCGAGAACAAGGGUCAGCAGUUUCGAAACAAGUUCGAACCAACAUAAGUAUCAAAAGAUGUUCAGUAAUCAAAAGACAAACAAAAACAAGAACUAAAGCCCUAGAAAAUCAACCCCAAGGUUAAGUCAUUAUAAUCACUGAUUAUUCAAAUGAUUUCAGAAAUGAGAGAUUGAAGGAUCACAUCAUUCUUCAAUUGAAAAGUAUUUCACCAGAUAUUAUCAGCCGUUUUUGCUAUUUUUGGAUUUUU